UUUCCGUAGGUGAACCUGCGGAAGGAUCAUUGUCGAAACCUGCCCAGCAGAACGACCCGCGAACUUGUAUAAACAACUGGGGGCGGGGGGCGUUCUCGCCCCGUGCCCCCGAACGGCGGGGAGACACACGUGCCUUCUUGCCGAACAACGAACCCCGGCGCGGUCUGCGCCAAGGAACUUCAACUGAAGAGUGCCUCCGGUCGCCUCGGAAACGGCGUGCGUGCCGGAGGCGAAUCUUGUGCAAAACCAUAACGACUCUCGGCAACGGAUAUCUCGGCUCUC
rnacentral:misc_RNA from 1 species